CUUGUGAGCCUAUCCCUUUUUUUUUUUCAUUUCUUCUUUGAUCUCUUCUUCUUUCUUUUUUUUUCAUUUCUUCUAACCCUAACCUUCUUUGGCCAACCAUCAUCACCAAAUGACUUCUUUUUGUCUCUUCUUUCCAAAUCUCACUUCAAAUUUCCCAAUAGGCUUUCAAAAUCCCGAGAUUAAGACCUCAAAGCUUUGAAUAAGGCUUCAACGGAUCUCCAUCGUCUACUGUCGAAUAGUCACCAUAUUCCGCCCACAGCUCUUCUUUAACCAACCAUGGCUCGACUGUUCAAAUCAUUGAACUGGGGUCCCGAGUUAUCCAACCCGUGAAACCCGAAGCGGAUAUAGGUACAAGUAGAGUUUUGAUAAGUUGAACGAUCAUUAAAGCAUCCAACUUACAACUCCUGACUUACCAAGUUUGUAAUCGUCUUAUUUUGUGUUAUAAGGGCACGUACCUAGAUUGAGUCAUUUAGUACCUAGUUAAGUAUAUAUACCAAACGUCUAGCAUUCCCUCACGCUCGGCGUCAAUGAGUUUUUUUAUUUGAUGGAAAGAAAAAAGAAGACUAUGCCUUCGCCCUAUGAAAUAUGAAUUAGCUUUGACAAUGUGAAAUUGCAAAAACAGUUAGUGACGUUGUGACUUCGUUCAAAAGACGUUGCAACGAGGAUAUCAUGUUGUGACGUCGUAUGUUUGUUGCCCGGACGAGCUUGAAUUCUAGGUCACGGUGUGACGAGGUACCUUAUCUUCUUGACGAGACCAAGACAUUGAGUCACGUCGCGACGAGAAAUUCCCUCAUGUCAUGACAUCCACUCUGAAUUUUGAAACAUUUCAUUUUGGUCCUUUUUCAAUUUUGAUUUAGCUUUAGAGCUUCAAUAAGCUCGUGUAAAGCCUGAGAAUGAUUGUAUUACAUGUUGUAUGUUUAUUUUUAUUAGUAAAGUUGCAAAAUUUUUAAAA